GCCCCCGUAGCGCAAUGGUAGCGCGUAAGACUGUAUGUUCUUUAUUCCUUAUUCCCUUUGAAUCUACCUACUAACACAACAAUAGUCUAAUCUUAAGGUUGCGAGUUCGAGCCUCGCCGGGGGCU